GAUAUUAACAAUUAAAUAAGUAUGUGAUUACAUCAUGACAUCAUGAAGGAGGCUACUGAUUCUGGCCCUGUGACACUUGGUGGUGACGUGUGAGCUGAUUCACCUGGACACUCAGCAAAAUAUGGACUCUACAUCAAGAGGCAGGCACACGUUAAUAACUCUAUAAGAGCACAUAAGCCUGGCUGAUCACCUGAUAACUCCUGUCAUCUGGUUAUGACAGCAUGAGGAUGUCCUCACACACCUGUAACCUAUCAGCUCAUCUGGCAGAAUAGAGAGAGAAGAGACAACACCACAUCUCCUGUUCCUGGAAAGCCUUCAGCCAUCCUUCGAUGACUGAGAACCUCCAUCAGCUCUGUCUCCUGUCUGCCUACAAUUAUUAUAAUAAAUAUUGUGUUUGACAA